AUAAUAUCAGGAAGUAUUACUUUACUGAGAUGGUAGUGGAUGCAUGGAAUAGCCUUCCAGCUGAAGUGGUAGAGGUUAACACAGUGAGGGAGUUUAAGCUUACGUGGGAUAGACAUAAGGCUAUCCUAACUGUAAGAUAAGACCAGGGACUAAUUAAAAGUAUUUUGAAAUAUUGGGCUAGAUGGGCCGAAUGGUUCUUAUCUGCCGUCACGUUCUAUUGUAGAUCUACACAAGGCUGGAAUUGGCUACAAGACCAUCGCCAAGCAGCUUGGUGAGAAGGUGACAACAGUUGGUGCGAUUAUUCGCAAAUGGAAGAAACACAAAAUAACUGUUAGUCUCCCUCAG